rnacentral:rRNA from 1 species
UUGACCUACGGGAGGCAGCAGUGAGGAAUAUUGGUCAAUGGGCGGAAGCCUGAACCAGCCAAGCCGCGUGAGGGAAUAAGGCCCUACGGGUCGUAAACCUCUUUUGCCGGGGAGCAAGGGCGGGGACGUGUCCCGGCCCGGAGAGUACCCGGAGAAAAAGCAUCGGCUAACUCCGUGCCAGCAGCCGCGGUAAUACGGAGGAUGCGAGCGUUAUCUGUCUUUAUUGGGUUUAA